rnacentral:rRNA from 1 species
UACGGAGGGUGCAAGCGUUAUCCGGAUUCACUGGGUUUAAAGGGUGCGUAGGAGGGCAGGUAAGUCAGUGGUGAAAUCCCCGAGCUUAACUUGGGAACUGCCGUUGAUACUAUCUGUCUUGAAUAUUGUGGAGGUGAGCGGAAUAUGUCAUGUAGCGGUGAAAUGCUUAGAUAUGACAUAGAACACCAAUUGCGGAGGCAGCUCGCUACACAUAUAUUGACUCUGAGGCACGAAAGCGUGGGGAUCAAACAGG